rnacentral:rRNA from 1 species
UACGAAGGUGGCAAGCGUUGUCCGGAAUUACUGGGCGUAAAGCGCGUGUAGGCGGAUCGUUAAGUCGGGGGUGAAAGCGCAGAGCUCAACUCUGGAAUUGCCUUCGAUACUGGCGGUCUGGAGCAGAGAAGAGGCGAGUGGAAUUCCGAGUGUAGAGGUGAAAUUCGUAGAUAUUCGGAGGAACACCAGUGGCGAAGGCGGCACGCUGGUCUCUUGCUGACGCUGAGACGCGAAAGCGUGGGGAGCAAACAGG